UACGUAGGGGGCAAGCGUUGUCCGGAUUCAUUGGGCGUAAAGAGCGUGUAGGCGGCCAGGUAGGUCGGUUGUGAAAACUGGAGGCUCAACCUUCAGAGGUCGACCGAAACCAUCUGGCUAGAGUCCGGGAGAGGAGAGUGGAAUUCCUGGUGUAGCGGUGGAAUGCGCAGAUAUCAGGAGGAACACCGAUGGCGAAGGCAGAUCUCUGGGCCGUUACUGACGCUGAGGAGCGAAAGCAUGGGGAGCGAACAGG
rnacentral:rRNA from 1 species